GUCCCUGUAGCGCAAUAGAUAAGCGCGCGCGCGUUGCACUUCUAAUUCAAAGGUCGUGGGUUCGAAUUCCCCCAGGCCUGGGAUG